CCUUCGGAAGGAUCAUUA
rnacentral:ncRNA from 2 species